CAGCCGGGUAAUUCCAGCUCCAAUAGCGUAUAUUAGUGUUGUUGCGGUUAAAAAGCUCGUAGUUGAAUUUCGGGAUUGGGAUAUAUCGGUCGUGCCUUUAGGGGCAUGAAUCGGUGUGUGGCCAAUUCUCACCUUCUGGUGAAUUGGGAUGCUCUCGGGUGUUUCAAUGAACUAGGACUUUUACUUUGAAAAAAUUAGAGUGUUUAAAGCGGGCAUUUUUGCUUGAAUACGUUAGCAUGGAAUAAUAAAAUAGGACGAUGGUUCUAUUUUGUUGGUUUUAGGACCACGUAAUGAUUAAUAGGGAUAGUUGGGGGCAUUAGUAUUCAAUUGUCAGAGGUGAAAUUCUUGGAUUUAUUGAGGACUAACUACUGCGAAAGCAUUUGCCAAGGAUGUUUUCAUUAAUCAAGAACGAAAGUUAGGGGAUCAAAGACGAUUUAUGUACGUCGUAGUCUUAACCAUAAACUAUGCCGACUAGGAAUCAGACAAAGUUAAUUUUUUAACGACUUGUUUGGUACCUUACG
rnacentral:misc_RNA from 1 species